rnacentral:rRNA from 1 species
GACGAACGCUGGCGGCGUGCUUAACACAUGCAAGUCGAGCGGUAAGGCCCUUUCGGAGGUACACGAGCGGCGAACGGGUGAGUAACACGUGGGUGACCUGCCCUCAGCUCUGGGAUAAGCCUGGGAAACCGGGUCUAAUACUGGAUAUGACUCCAUGACGCAUGUUGUGGGNGGAAAGCCUUGUGCGGCUGAGGAUGGGCCCGCGGCCUAUCAGCUCGUUGGUGGGGG